GUGUUUUCCCGCGCACCGUGAAUCCAUGAGCCUGCGGUCUGAAUCGAGUGCAAUGGGAUAAAAAUACCGUGCGCCUCAAAAUAAAGAUCCAGACCACUAUAUGAACUGUUGCUGGAGAACAUGCUGGACGCUCUGGUCUGGUCUGAACAUGGGUUUGAAACAACAUGACGGGGACAUAUGGGACAGAACAGGGAUGGGUGUGAAUAUCCCGUGACCCCUAACGGAUCAGGGGCAUACUGAAAGACGGCCUUGAACUGUAAGGAGCUAAUCCUGUUUGGCUGGCCUGCUGACGGCCUCCUCACCGGGACACGGUCCUGCUCUCAUCCUGGUGCUUCACAUGCUAAUCAAACUAAUGAUGAGCAACCAGAGACCUGCUCACAAUGCUGGCAGGAUACCAGUGGAACAUGCACACAUUAUAUUAACCAUCAAGCAAUAGUAAAAACAGACAAUCUAAUAAAACAAAUGUAUAGCAAUCUUUA